AUGAAGAGUUUGAUCCUGGCUCAGGAUGAACGCUAGCGGCAGGCUUAACACAUGCAAGUCGAGGGGUAACAGGGAGCUUGCUCCGCUGACGACCGGCGCACGGGUGCGCACCGCGUAUGGAACCUACCUUUUACAGGGGAAUAGCCCAGGGAAACUUGGAUUAAUGCCCCGUAGUACUAUUAUGUGGCAUCACAUUAUAGUUAAAGCCUUCGGGCGGUAGAAGAUGGCCAUGCGUCCCAUUAGUUU
rnacentral:rRNA from 11 species